ACAUGCUUACAUCAUAGCGCUAAUGCAUCAUAACUCAUUAGAACUCCGUAGUUAAGAGAACUCAGGCUAGAGUAGUACUGGGAUGGGUGACCGUCCGAGAAGUACUAGUGUUUUACAUGCC
rfam:Picea glauca, whole genome shotgun sequence.